CAGUAGCCGCGGGAAUACGUAGGGUGCGAGCGUUAAUCGGAUUUACUGGGCGUAAAGCGUGCGCAGGCGGCCCGUUAAGACAGGUGUGAAAUCCCUGGGCUCAACCUAGGAAUUGCGCUUGUGACUGGCGGGCUCGAGUACGGUAGAGGGGGGUGGAAUUCCUGGUGUAGCAGUGAAAUGCGUAGAGAUCAGGAGGAACACCGAUGGCGAAGGCAGCCCCCUGGGCCUGUACUGACGCUCAUGCACGAAAGCGUGGGGAGCAAACAGGAUUAGAUACCCCAGUAGUCCCUGUCUCUUAUAC
rnacentral:rRNA from 1 species